UACGGGGGGAGCAAGCGUUGUUCGGAUUUACUGGGCGUAAAGGGCGCGUAGGCGGCCACCGCAAGUCGACUGUGAAAUCUCCGGGCUUAACCCGGAGAGGUCAGCCGAUACUGCGGGGCUAGAGUGCAGAAGGGGCAACUGGAAUUCUCGGUGUAGCGGUGAAAUGCGUAGAUAUCGAGAGGAACACCUGCGGCGAAGGCGGGUUGCUGGGCUGACACUGACGCUGAGGCGCGAAAGCUAGGGGAGCGAACGGG
rnacentral:rRNA from 1 species